rnacentral:rRNA from 1 species
AUGCAGACCACCGUGGAGGACCUGCCCGCCGACGUGCUGGCCUGCGCGCUGCGCCGCCUCGACGGCCCGUCCCUGGCCGCCGCGAGCUGCGCCACGGCAGGCCUCCGCGCCCUCGCCGCGGAGCCGGAGACGUGGCGCGCGCUCUGCGUCGCACGGUGGCCGUCGCUGCUGCAGACCCAGCGGCGCGACAUCCUCGGCUCCGCGGCCGUCUCUCCGCAGCGCCUCUUCGCCGACGCCUUCCCCUUCCCGUCCAGUUCCACGGAUGCUGCUUCCGUCACCGCGGCCGAUCAAUGUCUCCCCGUCGAGCUCAUCUCCGCCGUGGACGUGUACCACAAGGGAGCGCCCCUCUUCUCCCGGGUCGUGGAGACCUCCACGUCGUCCUCGUGGUUCCUGACCUCGCCGUUCCGCGUGGACGCCGUCGAGUGCAAGGACCCGGUGCCGGCGGCCUCGUUCUCUCCGUCGGAUUUGGAGCUCAGCUGGAUCGUCGUGGACCCCCGAAGCGGCCGGGCGGUGAACGUGUCGAGCCGGCGGGCGGUGGCCGUGGAUAGACACUGGUACACCGGCGAGACGUUGGUGCGGUUCGCGGUGGUGCUCGGCGGGAGCAAGUUCGAGGCCACAGUCACCUGCUCGGAGGAGGCCGGGUACCUUAGGGAGGUCAGCCUCACCGUCGAGGACGCCGAAAACGCGGCGGUGAGCGGCGAAGGCAGCCUGCGGCUUCUUGCAGCCGCAAUGGAAGGACCGAGGAAAGGAGGGGAGAAGGAAAGAGAAGAGGCCAAGAGGAGGUACGAGGAGUUCGUAAGGAGCAAGAGGGGGAGGAAGGAGUCCAAGGCAAGGCGGGAGGUGCUCGUCGACUUGUGCUGCUCCGCCGUCGGCGCCGUCGCCGUGCUCAGCUUCCUCGCCUCCGUUGUGCUACGGUAG